rnacentral:rRNA from 1 species
GCCACAGCCAUAUCACCCUGCAGCCCAAGGUUGCCCACUGGUUGCCCACUGAAGCUAAGCAGGGUUGAGCCUGGUCAGUACCUGGAUGGGAGACCUCCUGGGAAAACUAGGUUGCUGCUGGAA